ensembl:lncRNA
CUGCGGGCCGGUGCGGGGAGGAGCUCCGGGCGGCUCCGAGUGGUGACGGCGCAGGCCCGGCGCCCAGGGGGAGCUCAGAGACGCCUGCCGGGCUGCAUUGCCCGCUAUGCGGAGCCAGAUAGAAUCUUGCUAAACUGCCCAGGCUGAACUUGAACUCAUGGUCUUCUGCCUCAGUCUCCAGAGGAGCUAGACUUACAGGAAUCAAACUUGGGUCCUUGUGCUUGUGAGGCAGGCGGCAAAACCACUGAGCUAAAUCCCUGGCCCACUCUAUUUUAAUAUUUAAGACAUUUUAAUAUUUAAAACACUUCUAAAAAUCCAACCUACCAAUAUUAACCUAAAUAGCUAUGUGUGGGUAGACUAUUCUCACUUAAGUUUUCCUUACUGCUGGACAUUUACUUUGCUUUCAGAUCCUAUGCUAUUGUGUGUAAAGCUGCAGUCAACAUCUUUGUACAUAAAAUUGAUCCAUGCCCAUGAUUAUUGCCUUAGGAUGAAGUUCUAGAAGUAGAAUUCCUGGGCCAAAGGUUUUAAGCAUUGCUACACUAUCUUCAAGAAACAGGCCCAUCCCUCAACAUUGUAUUAAGGAUUUUUUUUUUAGUUUUGUUUGUCUGCUUGUUUUAGACAGUGUCAAGCUAUGUAGUUCAGGUUUGCCUUGAACUCAUGAUGUGGCCUAGGCUGGCUUCAAACUCCUGGGCCUCCUGUCCCAGCCUCCUGAGUGCUGGGAUUACAGGUGUGCACCAC